rnacentral:rRNA from 1 species
UACGUAGAGAGCAAGCGUUGUCCGGAAUCAUUGGGCGUAAAGCGCGCGUAGGUGGCUUCGUAAGUCCGUUGUGAAAGUCAAAGGCUCAACCUUUGAAAGCCGAUGGAUACUGUGAAGCUAGAGUACGGAAGAGGCGAGUGGAAUUCCUGGUGUAGCGGUGGAAUGCGCAGAUAUCAGGAGGAACACCAAUAGCGAAGGCAGCUCGCUGGGACGUUACUGACACUGAGGCGCGAAAGCGUGGGGAGCGAACAGG